rnacentral:rRNA from 1 species
UACAGAGGGUGCGAACGUUGCUCGGAAUUACUGGGCGUAAAGCGUGCGCAGGCGGCUUUGCAAGACAGAUGUGAAAUCCCCGGGCUUAACCUGGGAACUGCAUUUGUGACUGCAUGGCUAGAGUGCGGCAGAGGGGGAUGGAAUUCCGCGUGUAGCAGUGAAAUGCGUAGAUAUGCGGAGGAACACCGAUGGCGAAGGCAGCCCCCUGGGCUAACACUGACGCUCAUGCACGAAAGCGUGGGGAGCAAACAGG